GACGAACGCUGGCGGCGUGCUUAACACAUGCAAGUCGAACGGAAAGGCCUCUUUCGGGGGGUACUCGAGUGGCGAACGGGUGAGUAACACGUGAGUAACCUGCCCUUGACUUUGGGAUAACUUCAGGAAACUGGGGCUAAUACCGGAUAGGAGCUCCUGCUGCAUGGUGGGGGUUGGAAAGUUUCGGCGGUUGGGGAUGGACUCGCGGCUUAUCAGCUUGUUGGUGGGGUAGUGGCUUACCAAGGCUUUGACGGGUAGCCGGCCUGAGAGGGUGACCGGCCACAGUGGGACUGAGAUACGGCCCAGACUCCUACGGGAGACAGCAGUGGGGAAUAUUGCACAAUGGGUGGAAGCCUGAUGCAGCAACGCCGUGUGCGGGAUGACGGCCUUCGGGUUGUAAACCGCUUUCGCUCAUGACGAAGCUUUGUGUGACGGUAGUGGGUAAAGAAGCACCGGCUAACUACGUG
rnacentral:rRNA from 1 species